rnacentral:sRNA from 2 species
UAUUAAAUUAAAAUUUAUUGCUUUUCCCCCUUUUCCCUCUCCUUGUUUUUUUGGCCAUAUAUCUCCGUUGCCCAUGUACUGGAUCGACUUACCCCUGCGUUGCCCACCAUGACGUUGGCCCAUCCGCCCCUGAACGCCCAUGUGAAAACCCUGGUUGGCUAUGCCCAAAAAUGUGCUCGUUGCCAAACGGGUACCAUACUUGACAACUUCUGAUUGAAUGCCCAUGCCCAAUGCCAACAUCCACGAACGCCAAUGACCAAUGCAGUACAAUGCCAGUGUUUCAGUCCCAGACAGCAGUGGCCCCGAGCGCAUAUUGAGUAUCAGUGCUGAUAUUGAAACAAUUGGAGAAAUUCUGAAGAAAAUCAUCCCUACCUUGGAAGAGGGCCUGCAGUUGCCAUCACCCACUGCAACCAGCCAGCUCCCGCUCGAAUCUGAUGCUGUGGAAUGCUUAAAUUACCAACACUAUAAAGGAAGUGACUUUGACUGCGAGUUGAGGCUGUUGAUUCAUCAGAGUCUAGCAGGAGGAAUUAUUGGGGUCAAAGGUGCUAAAAUCAAAGAACUU